rnacentral:snRNA from 1 species
AUUGCUUCUUGGCCUUUUGGCUGAGGUCAGCUGUACUGUCUGUUCUGAUACGUUUAAUAUCUGAUAUGUUCUCUGUCCGAGGACAGUCUUGUAAAUGGAUGUAUUAAGUUCAUAAGGAAGAGAUACAGUUGGUGUAGCAUUAUUUUAGCUUCAGGAUAUAGCAGUGAGUUGACAUUUGUACAUCUUGCAAAAUGAUCACAG